rnacentral:SRP_RNA from 1 species
GCCCGGCACAGUGGCGUGUGCCUGUAGUCCCAGCUACUCAGAAAGCUGAGGUGGGAGGAUCGCUUGAGCCCAGGAGUUCUGGGCUGUAGUGCAGUAUGCCGAUCAGGUGUCCUCACUAAGUUCAGCAUCAAUAUGGUGACCUCCCAGAAGUAGGGGACCACCAGGUUGCAUAAGGAGGGGUGAACCGGCCCAGGUCGGAAACAGAGCAGGUCAAAACUCCCGUGCUGAUCAGUAGUGGGAUCGUGCCUAUGAGUAGCCACUGCACUCCAGCCUGGGCAACAUAGUGAGACCCUGUCUCU